CGAACGAACUCUGGUAUUGAUUGGUGCUUGCAUCAUGAUUUACAUUUGAGUGAGUGGCGAACUGGUGAGUAACACGUGGGAAACCUGCCCAGAAGCGGGGGAUAACACCUGGAAACAGAUGCUAAUACCGCAUAACAACUUGGACCGCAUGGUCCGAGUUUGAAAGAUGGCUUCGGCUAUCACUUUUGGAUGGUCCCGCGGCGUAUUAGCUAGAUGGUGGGGUAACGGCUCACCAUGGCAAUGAUACGUAGCCGACCUGAGAGGGUAAUCGGCCACAUUGGGACUGAGACACGGCCCAAACUCCUACGGGAGGCAGCAGUAGGGAAUCUUCCACAAUGGACGAAAGUCUGAUGGAGCAACGCCGCGUGAGUGAAGAAGGGUUUCGGCUCGUAAAACUCUGUUGUUAAAGAAGAACAUAUCUGAGAGUAACUGUUCAGGUAUUGACGGUAUUUAACCAGAAAGCCACGGCUAACUACGUGCCAGCAGCCGCGGUAAUACGUAGGUGGCAAGCGUUGUCCGGAUUUAUUGGGCGUAAAGCGAGCGCAGGCGGUUUUUUAAGUCUGAUGUGAAAGCCUUCGGCUCAACCGAAGAAGUGCAUCGGAAACUGGGAAACUUGAGUGCAGAAGAGGACAGUGGAACUCCAUGUGUAGCGGUGAAAUGCGUAGAUAUAUGGAAGAACACCAGUGGCGAAGGCGGCUGUCUGGUCUGUAACUGACGCUGAGGCUCGAAAGUAUGGGUAGCAAACAGGAUUAGAUACCCUGGUAGUCCAUACCGUAAACGAUGAAUGCUAAGUGUUGGAGGGUUUCCGCCCUUCAGUGCUGCAGCUAACGCAUUAAGCAUUCCGCCUGGGGAGUACGGCCGCAAGGCUGAAACUCAAAGGAAUUGACGGGGGCCCGCACAAGCGGUGGAGCAUGUGGUUUAAUUCGAAGCUACGCGAAGAACCUUACCAGGUCUUGACAUACUAUGCAAAUCUAAGAGAUUAGACGUUCCCUUCGGGGACAUGGAUACAGGUGGUGCAUGGUUGUCGUCAGCUCGUGUCGUGAGAUGUUGGGUUAAGUCCCGCAACGAGCGCAACCCUUAUUAUCAGUUGCCAGCAUUAAGUUGGGCACUCUGGUGAGACUGCCGGUGACAAACCGGAGGAAGGUGGGGAUGACGUCAAAUCAUCAUGCCCCUUAUGACCUGGGCUACACACGUGCUACAAUGGAUGGUACAACGAGUUGCGAACUCGCGAGAGUAAGCUAAUCUCUUAAAGCCAUUCUCAGUUCGGAUUGUAGGCUGCAACUCGCCUACAUGAAGUCGGAAUCGCUAGUAAUCGCGGAUCAGCAUGCCGCGGUGAAUACGUUCCCGGGCCUUGUACACACCGCCCGUCACACCAUGAGAGUUUGUAACACCCAAAGUCGGUGG
rnacentral:rRNA from 4 species